GAAGAAUCCUCAACUUAUUUGCGCACUGAGUUGGAUUUGUAUUUGGAGGAGCCAACAUUGCCUAGAACUCAAGAACUUGACAUCAUUAGCUGGUGGCAGUAUGCAGGAAUUAAGUAUCCAACUCUUAGAAGAAUUGCUCGAGAUAUAAUGGCAAUUCCUGUUACGACAGUGGCAUCAGAAUCUGUGUUUAGUACUGGUGGAAGGGUAAUUAGCCCGCAUCGAAGUAGACUUGCUCCUAAAACAGUUGAAGGGUUGAUGUGCAUGCAAGCUUGGUCUCGUGCUGAUAUGUUAGGUGAUCAAUCUGGUUUCAUGAAUGCACUAAUGACUUGUUUGGAGGAUGAAGAGGAGGAAAUGGAUGAUCCUGAUUCUACCAUCAUUGAUUGAAAUAUAGGAAGAUUGCAACACAAUCCAUGCUGCUUUUUCAUGUCAAGUGAUUAGGCCUACUUGCUGCUUGCUGCUGCCUACUGGAUUGUUGGUAGGCCUAACUGCUGGUGGUUCUUUAUAUGUGCUAGCUGCUGCCUGCUGCUAUGCUGCUGGUUGUAUGAACUGUAAUUUGUGGUUGGAAUUGUACUCAAUAAUGCGUGUAUGAUUGUAAUUUCUUGUUGUAUCA